rnacentral:rRNA from 1 species
UAGUGAAAUACAAAUCGGACUAGGAUAUAGCUGGUUUUCUGCGAAAAUUGUUUUGGCAAAUUGUUUAUUCCUCUAAAAAAUAGUAGGUAUAGCACUGAAUAUCUCGAGGGAGUAUGAAAAUAUUUAUCUCAGAUAUUUAAUCUCAAAAUAACUAUUUCUUAAGAUAAAUAAUCAGACUAUGUGCGAUAAGGUAGAUAGUCGAAAGGGAAACAGCCCAGAACAGUAAUUAAAGCUCCCCAAUUAAUAUUAAGUGAAAUA